GAGACGGAUGCCGGAGGUGUACCAGGCGCCGUUGGGGUCGGCGGGCACCGAGUUGCGGUUCGUGACCACACCGGCGUC
rnacentral:tRNA from 1 species